CCUAACACAUGCAAGUCGAACGGAAAGGCCCUGCUUUUGUGGGGUGCUCGAGUGGCGAACGGGUGAGUAACACGUGAGUAACCUGCCCUUGACUUUGGGAUAACUUCAGGAAACUGGGGCUAAUACCGGAUAGGAGCUCCUGCUGCAUGGUGGGGGUUGGAAAGUUUCGGCGGUUGGGGAUGGACUCGCGGCUUAUCAGCUUGUUGGUGGGGUAGUGGCUUACCAAGGCUUUGACGGGUAGCCGGCCUGAGAGGGUGACCGGCCACAUUGGGACUGAGAUACGGCCCAGACUCCUACGGGAGGCAGCAGUGGGGAAUAUUGCACAAUGGGCGGAAGCCUGAUGCAGCAACGCCGCGUGCGGGAUGACGGCCUUCGGGUUGUAAACCGCUUUCGCCUGUGACGAAGCGUGAGUGACGGUAAUGGGUAAAGAAGCACCGGCUAACUACGUGCCAGCAGCCGCGGUGAUACGUAGGGUGCGAGCGUUGUCCGGAUUUAUUGGGCGUAAAGGGCUCGUAGGUGGUUGAUCGCGUCGGAAGUGUAAUCUUGGGGCUUAACCCUGAGCGUGCUUUCGAUACGGGUUGACUUGAGGAAGGUAGGGGAGAAUGGAAUUCCUGGUGGAGCGGUGGAAUGCGCAGAUAUCAGGAGGAACACCAGUGGCGAAGGCGGUUCUCUGGGCCUUUCCUGACGCUGAGGAGCGAAAGCGUGGGGAGCGAACAGGCUUAGAUACCCUGGUAGUCCACGCUGUAAACGGUGGGUACUAGGUGUGGGGUCCAUUCCACGGGUUCCGUGCCGUAGCUAACGCUUUAAGUACCCCGCCUGGGGAGUACGGCCGCAAGGCUAAAACUCAAAGGAAUUGACGGGGCCCCGCACAAGCGGCGGAGCAUGCGGAUUAAUUCGAUGCAACGCGUAGAACCUUACCUGGGUUUGACAUGGAUCGGGAGUGCUCAGAGAUGGGUGUGCCUCUUUUGGGGUCGGUUCACAGGUGGUGCAUGCCUGUCGUCAGCUCGUGUCGUGAGAUGUUGGGUUAAGUCCCGCAACGAGCGCAACCCUUGUUCACUGUUGCCAGCACGUUAUGGUGGGGACUCAGUGGAGACCGCCGGGGUCAACUCGGAGGAAGGUGGGGAUGACGUCAAGUCCUCAUGCCCCUUAUGUCCAGGGCUUCACGCAUGCUACAAUGGCUGGUACAGAGAGUGGCGAGCCUGUGAGGGUGAGCGAAUCUCGGAAAGCCGGUCUCAGUUCGGAUUGGGGUCUGCAACUCGACCUCAUGAAGUCGGAGUCGCUAGUAAUCGCAGAUCAGCAACGCUGCGGUGAAUACGUUCCCGGGGCUUGUACACACCGCCCGUCAAGUCAUGAAAGUUGGUAACACCCGAAGCCGGUGGCCUAACCGUUGUGGGGGAGCCGUCGAAGGUGGGACUGGUGAUUAG
rnacentral:rRNA from 1 species